rnacentral:rRNA from 1 species
GACGAACGCUGGCGGCGUGCCUAAUACAUGCAAGUAGAACGCACAGUUUAUACCGUAGCUUGCUACACCAUAGACUGUGAGUUGCGAACGGGUGAGUAACGCGUAGGUAACCUGCCUGGUAGCGGGGGAUAACUAUUGGAAACGAUAGCUAAUACCGCAUAAUAUUAAUUAUUGCAUGAUAAUUAAUUGAAAGGUGCAAUUGCACCACUACCAGAUGGACCUGCGUUGUAUUAGCUAGUAGGUGAGGUAACGGCUCACCUAGGCGACGAUACAUAGCCGACCUGGGAGGGUGAUCGGCCACACUGGGACGGAGACACGGCCCAGACUCCUACGGGAGGCAGCAGUAGGGAAUCUUCGGCAAUGGACGAAAGUCUGACCGAGCAACGCCGCGUGAGUGAAGAAGGUUUUCGGAUCGUAAAGCUCUGUUGUAAGAGAAGAACGGGUGUGAGAGUGGAAAGUUCACACUGUGACGGUAUCUUACCAGAAAGGGACGGCUAACUACGUG